AGUGGCGGACGGGUGAGUAACGCGUAAGCGACCUGCCCUAAAGUGGGGAACAACUCUGAGAAAUCGGAGCUAAUACCGCAUGUGGUCUUGUAAAGUAAAGCCGCGCUUUAGGAGGGGCUUGCGUCCGAUUAGCUAGUUGGUAAGGUAACGGCCCACCAAGGCGACGAUCGGUAGCUGGUUUGAGAGGACGACCAGCCACACUGGGACUGAGACACGGCCCAGACUCCUACGGGAGGCAGCAGCAAGGAAUAUUGGGCAAUGGGCGAAAGCCUGACCCAGCGACACCGCGUGGGGGAAGAAGACCUUCGGGUUGUAAACUCCUUUUCUCGGGGAAGAAUGACGGUACCCGGGGAAUAAGCCUCGGCUAACUACGUGCCAGCAGCCGCGGUAAUACGUAGGAGGCGAGCGUUAUCCGGAUUUACUGGGCGUAAAGCGGGUGCAGGCGGUCUGCCAAGUCGGAUGUGAAAUCUCCCGGCUCAACCGGGAGGGUGCAUUCGAAAC
rnacentral:rRNA from 1 species